AGUAACGGCGAGUGAAGCGGUAACAGCUCAAAUUUGAAAUCUGGCUCCUGCGGAGUCCGAGUUGUAAUUUGUAGAAGAUGCUUUGGGAGGUAGGGCCGGCCUAAGUUCCUUGGAACAGGACGUCAGAGAGGGUGAGAAUCCCGUAUGCGGCCGAGGCCUACGCCCGUGUAAAGCUCUUUCGACGAGUCGAGUUGUUUGGGAAUGCAGCUCAAAAUGGGUGGUAAAUUUCAUCUAAAGCUAAAUAUUGGCCAGAGACCGAUAGCGCACAAGUAGAGUGAUCGAAAGAUGAAAAGCACUUUGGAAAGAGAGUUAAACAGUACGUGAAAUUGUUGAAAGGGAAGCGCUUGCAACCAGACUUGGGCGUCGGCGAUCAUCCGUGGUUUUCCGCGGUGCACUCGACGAUGCACAGGCCAGCAUCGGUUUGGGUGGUUGGAGAAAGACCCGAGGAAUGUAGCUCUCUUCGGGGAGUGUUAUAGCCUAGGGUGCAAUGCAGCCCACCUGGACCGAGGACCGCGCCUUUGGGCUAGGAUGCUGGCGUAAUGGUUGCAAGCGACCCGUCUUGAAACACGGACCAAGGAGUCUAACAUCUAUGCGAGUGUUUGGGCGUUAAACCCAUACGCGGAAUGAAAGUGAACGUAGGUGAGAACCCGGUAGGUGCAUCAUCGACCGAUCCUGAUGUCUUCGGAUGGAUUUGAGUAGAGCAUAGCUGUUGGGA
rnacentral:rRNA from 1 species